GACGAACGCUGGCGGCGUGCUUAACACAUGCAAGUCGAACGGAAAGGCCCUGCUUUUGUGGGGUGCUCGAGUGGCGAACGGGUGAGUAACACGUGAGUAACCUGCCCUUGACUUUGGGAUAACUUCAGGAAACUGGGGCUAAUACCGGAUAGGAGCUCCUGCUGCAUGGUGGGGGUUGGAAAGUUUCGGCGGUUGGGGAUGGACUCGCGGCUUAUCAGCUUGUUGGUGGGGUAGUGGCUUACCAAGGCUUUGACGGGUAGCCGGCCUGAGAGGGUGACCGGCCACAUUGGGACUGAGCUACGGCCCAGACUCCUACGGGAGGCAGCAGUGGGGAAUAGUGCACAAUGGGCGGAAGCCUGAUGCAGCAACGCCGCGUGCGGGAUGACGGCCUUCGGGUUGUAAACCGCUUUCGCCUGUGACGAAGCGUGAGUGACGGUAAUGGGUAAAGAAGCACCGGCUAACUACGUG
rnacentral:rRNA from 1 species